rnacentral:lncRNA from 1 species
GGUUGUUGUCUCUUUGACAAAUUUCGCAUUCCCUUUCUCAAUUUUGCCUGUUAAUUUAAUUCUUUAUUUGAAAUUAAUGUCGAACUUCCUUCCCUGUCAUUGGUACUUGUGUAGAUUUACUUUCCCUUGUAAGUCUCAGUGCUUUUUGGGCAGUCAACAUAUAAAUAAAGAAUUGCCUCACCCACUUUGAACGAUUUAGUAUAUUGGGGAACGUUCUAUUUUACGAAC